UGGGGGAGGCCUGGUGGAUUAGAGAUGAGUGGCAGGUCAGUGGCAGGAGCUUGAGGGAGAGCGGAGUGAGGUCACAGAAGUUGCCAUGGGGAAGGAUGGGUAGCCACUGCAAGGUCCUGACUUAUGCCCACCACUGUGGCUUCUGGGAAAAAGAUAGACUGUCGGGCAGAUGGGCACAGAAGAACAGGUCUAGGAACAAGGCAGUCAUAACUGUGGGAAAUGUUGAUCGGAAGCAUGAUAGAGCCUGCAUUGCUCUGUAGGCCACCUGGAGAGUUCUGGACAGAAUAAACCCUACAGGCCAAUGUACCUGUGACAGCUACCCUCCCACACCAGGCCAGGUCACUGGUGACUUUCCCAAAAAACCUCUUCAAAAAAUCUGGGAGUCUGGAGAUCCCCAAGCUGGGCCUCCCGUUCUGCAGCCUUGGCAAGACUCGCCAUGUCCUUGAGUAAUGCCUGUCCCUGAGAACCAUCACCCCCAAGGUCCGCUGAGUCAACCUGAACAGCAGGGGGCAAAGGAGUUAAGGGCCUGGCCCUGCCCUGGCUCUGCCUCUUAACCCCAAGUGCCUACUCGUCCUGUGAGCUAUGCAUCCAUACUGCCUACCUCCCAGCUCCAACACAUGCCGUCCCUGGGCUUGUCACACCACAGACGUUCUGGACUCCCAGGACUCAUUUUUUAAGGCAUCUGAGUAUCCACAUUUCUCAGGAAUCAUUCUCAAAAAUCCCCAUUUCUCCCUAAUGAAUGCUCCUGGCAUCUACUGGUGGUCCUGAAAUGGGCCAAGUCACUGAAAGAACCAUUUGUCAACUCUGUCCUGACAACAUCACUGGGGCUGCAGGUAAGUGGAUGCCAGACUCCGGGGUCUGGGGUCUGGCCCAGCUCUGCUGAGGACUCCGGAGGGGACCUUCUCUGUGUAUAUCAGAAGGUAUCUGAGUUUCAAUUCCCACAAAGGCAGAUGCCGAGACAAGGAUUUGCUUCAAGGCGUCUAUCUGGCAGGUGUUUGGGGGAGGCACAGUGAGUGAGGCAACAGAGGAGGACGGCUUGGGAUCCCAGAGAGCACUCAGGAACCGCAGAAAGUCUGGCUCCAGAGCCCGAGUGCAUGACAUGGCUGUGCCCCUGUCUCUUGGCCAGUUAAACUCACGUGAAGAUCCGAGAUAUAACGGUGAAAAGCUCUGACGCAGAGUCAGUGCUCUGGAAACAGCAGUUGCUAUGAUAAUAGUUAUGAGAACCCCUGUGAGGAUUAAAUAACACACUGAGAUAGCCCAGUCCUGCAUCAUCUCAUAGGAAGGCUGAUUUCUCUUCAUUCGCACGUCCCUAACCAAUCUGCCCAGCCCCACCUUGCUGAUCUCCCAGAG